UACGUAGGGUGCAAGCGUUGUCCGGAAUUAUUGAGCGUAAAGAGCUCGUAGGCGGUUUGUCGCGUCGGCUGUGAAAACUGGAGGCUUAACCUUCAGCGUGGAGUCGAUACGGGCAGGCUUGAGUUCGGUAGGGGAGACUGGAAUUCCUGGUGUAGCGGUGAAAUGCGCAGAUAUCAGGAGGAACACCGGUGGCGAAGGCGGGUCUCUGGGCCGAUACUGACGCUGAGGAGCGAAAGCGUGGGGAGCGAACAGG
rnacentral:rRNA from 1 species